UGGCCCAAUUUCUAAAAUGGCAACCCCAAAACUACAGACUUCUGUGUCCCCUGAAGUCUCCCCACACCUGAUGCUGGGACAGAGGAGGUUUGUGGGGUAUUGCAGGUGUCCAGCAGCAGCCAGUGGGACAACUGCAGCCUGAGAAAGAACCUCAGUAGAAGCUGCUUUUGGAGCAGUGUGCCAGCACCCUCUCUCAAAAGCUGUGGAAGCCAGUUCCUCCCAUACAAAGCUGUUGGAUGUUGGAGAAGGAAGGGUAAGUCUAAGAAAUAGCUCAGAGAUCCUGAUCCUGGCAUUUUUGUGUUAAUUUGGGGAGGAAAAAAACCUCUAUAGCAGCUUUCCUUUUUUAGAUUAGUAGACAUGUAGAAGAUUAGUUUUACUCCUUUUUGGAUUAUCCAACGAAAGCAGAAAUAUCCGGAAAACAGUAAUUCCUUCUUUGCCUGAAGUCCUGUUUGUGGCAUCACGGGCAACCCACCCCUUUUUGUGGCACAACUUGCUGGUGUGGAGCCAGAGGUCGCUGAUGUUACAAGAUGUUGUAGGGUUAAGUGUUUGCACAUGGGCAAAUGCACAACACACAAGACGAAGGAAAAAGACAUGUCUUUCUUAAGUGCUCCUCAAAAAGAACAGAAAAGCAGGACUGUUGUAAGUAGAGAAGACUUCAAUAUUUACAUUUUAUUGCUAUUUGAAAGGAAAUUUGAUGGAAGAGGGAGUUCUGCUUUUAGUCAGAACAUCCUUAUAUGUCUCAUUUCUGAAGCACCUCUUCUGCACUAAGAAAAUGUUUCCAGACUCUUAAAAGACUACUCCUCAAUCCAGAAAAUUAAAGAAACCCAUCGGAAAUCUGGCUCUUUUCAGAGAUCCAUACAUUUACUGUCCAUAUCAUCUAGAGCCCCCCCACCUUUUUCCUUGGGAUCUUACAUUUGUGACUGCUGAUGCAACUGCCCUUAAAAUCUACACUCCCUCUCAGUUCCUGAGUGUUUUGAUCAUCACUCAGAAAGUAUAAGGAAUUGACUGUAUCAGCUCUGAUUUUAAACUCUACUCCAUGGGAAUACCCAGGAGAUCCUUGACCUUUGACUUUCCCGGAAUGCUUACAGCAGACCGGCAUGGGUUGUAUGUGCACUGAGUUCAAACAUUUCCUUCCCUAUGACUACAGUUAGAGUGCUAUUUUCUAUUCUGCUGUA
rnacentral:lncRNA from 1 species